rnacentral:rRNA from 1 species
AGUGAACGCUGGCGGUAGGCCUAACACAUGCAAGUCGAACGGCAGCACAGUAAGAGCUUGCUCUUACGGGUGGCGAGUGGCGGACGGGUGAGGAAUACAUCGGAAUCUACUUUUUCGUGGGGGAUAACGUAGGGAAACUUACGCUAAUACCGCAUACGCCCUACGGGUGAAAGCAGGGGUUCUUCUGACCUUGCGCGAUUGAAUGAGCCGAUGUCGGAUUAGCUAGUUGGCGGGGUAAAGGCCCACCAAGGCGACGAUCCGUAGCUGGUCUGAGAGGAUGAUCAGCCACACUGGAACUGAGACACGGUCCAGACUCCUACGGGAGGCAGCAGUGGGGAAUAUUGGACAAUGGGCGCAAGCCUGAUCCAGCCAUACCGCGUGGGUGAAGAAGGCCUUCGGGUUGUAAAGCCCUUUUGUUGGGAAAGAAAAGCAGCAGGUUAAUACCCCGCUGUUCUGACGGUACCCAAAGAAUAAGCACCGGCUAACUUCGUG